rnacentral:rRNA from 1 species
UACGUAGGGGGCAAGCGUUGUCCGGAUUUACUGGGCGUAAAGAGCGCGUAGGCGGAAGUUUAAGCGUAGCCUGAAAGCCCCCGGCUCAACCGGGGAGGGUGGCCGCGAACUGGACUUCUUGAGUGCGAGAGAGGAGCGUGGAAUUCCGGGUGUAGUGGUGAAAUGCGUAGAGAUCCGGAGGAACCCCAGAGGCGAAGGCGGCGCUCUGGCUCGCAACUGACGCUCAGACACGACAGCAUGGGGAGCGAACGGG